UCUUCAAAAACAAUAAAGCAAAUCUGAAGUACCCACAAAAAAAAAUUUCAAGAAAAGUGAAUUUUACUGCAAGAACGAGGCUCCUUCUUCUCUUCUCUUCUCUCCGAGAAGCUAUAGUGAAGUCCAAUUGUUGUUUGACUCAUCCGACCACCCGACAGUGAGGGUUGUCGUCUGAGGCCCGGAGCUGACAGUUGCUGUUGUACUAUAAUAAUAUCCUAUAAAAAGGAAUGGCGAUAAUACAGUUUUAUAGUGAAAGGAUUUGAGGCUUUCUGGGUUUUCGUCACUUGUUUGGAGCUAUCUAGCUAGCUGCAAUGGCGGAGCAAAUCUGUUUCCUCUCAAAGGGAACUAUCAUCAUAAAAGCUCCCAAGAAAUCUUCACCACUGUUAAGGAUGGGAUUGGUAGUUUUAGCAAUGGUGUGUGGUGUUUUUAUCUUCUGUGUAUGUGUAAACCAGUCCAACACUGACAAACAACAUAAAUUCUUGAACCUUGAGGUCAUUGGAAGGGGUUGUCAUGACCUUGGCAUAGAUAGAUCCCAGAUUCCCUACUUGCAUUAUCCGAAGCCAAGAACUUUUAGCAGGGCUGAAUGUGCCUGUAACCCUGUUCGGCUCUUUGCCAUUUUGACGAUGCAAAGGUCUGGGAGUGGUUGGUUCGAGACGUUAUUGAAUAGUCAUGUGAAUGUAAGUUCAAAUGGCGAAAUAUUCUCUGUGAAAGACAGGAGGGAGAAUUUUUCUUCAAUUGUGGAGACACUGGACAGAGUUUACAAUCUCGACUGGUUUACUAGCGCAUCAAAGAAUCAGUGUUCUGCCUCGGUUGGCUUCAAAUGGAUGCUUAACCAGGGGGUGAUUGAACACCAAAGAGAAAUUGUUGACUACUUCAAUGAAAAGGGUGUUUCUGUGAUAUUUCUUUUCCGAAGAAACCUACUUCGCCGAAUGGUUUCCUUGCUUGCAAAUUCGUAUGAUCGACAUGCCAAACUCUUGAAUGGAACACACAAGUCUCAUGUUCACUCAACUGAGGAGGCUGAGACCCUUGCAAAAUACAAGCCUGUAAUCAAUACUGCAUCAUUAAUGAUGGAAUUAAAGCAAAUGGACGUGAUGGCCAGAGAAGCACUGCAGUACUUCAGCAGCACACGCCAUAUCGUUCUAUACUAUGAAGACCUUAUCAGAAACCAAAGUAAAAUGAUGGAUGCCCUGAAGUUCUUGAGACUGCCACACAUGCAUUUGACUAGUCGGCAAGUUAAGAUACACAGUGGACCGCUAUGGAAGCAUAUCAAGAACUGGGAUGAUGUUAACAUGGCAUUGAAAGGAACGGUUUAUGAAGGCUUCCUCUAUACUGACUACUAAUCUCGCAGCUUCAUUGGUCAACAAAAAGUGUGAAUUCUUCAACCGCCUUUAUAUCUAAACUUAACAGAAAAACAGAGGGGAGAGAAGACAAUCAAAUGAAGAAAAACAGAGAGAUAGAAGACAAUCAAAUGAAGAAAAACAGAGGGAGAGUACCAUUGGCAGCUGUGAAUACAAUGAAGAAUGGGGGGCAAGGCAACAACCCCAACCCAGCAAUGGCAACGACAAAGCAGACAGUGCCGUCUGUAUUAGCUUUCCCCGAGGAAGCUAGCCAACAUAUUUCGCUGGAAAGGGACAAUCACAAUCACGGCAAGCAAAGGAACAGAAUACAACCUUUCUCCGACAUUUCCGAGGGAGUAUUCCAUUCAAACCACCCAAGGUAAAAUUCGACACACCUUGUUUUCAUCCCAACGUUGAUGCAUAUGGGAACAUAUCACAUAUGCUUGGACAUCCUUCAGGAAAAAUGGUCAGCUGCUUAUGAUGUGAGGACUGUCUGUCCUACUUUCUAUUCACAGUUUUGUACUUAAUCAAUUAUAAAUUAGCUUCCUACUUGA